GCAUCAUGGAUCAGGUAAUGCAGUUCGUUGAGCCAAGUCGGCAGUUUGUGAAGGACUCGAUUCGGCUAGUUAAAAGAUGCACUAAACCUGAUAGAAAAGAAUUCCAGAAGAUUGCCAUGGCAACAGCAAUAGGAUUUGCUAUAAUGGGAUUCAUUGGCUUUUUUGUGAAAUUGAUCCAUAUCCCUAUUAAUAACAUCAUUGUUGGCGGCUGAAUACCUUUUUAGAAGUUUUUUUCAUCUUGGACAUUGGUGAAUAAGUGAGGAUUUGAGAAGCUCAUGGAGUAAAAAUUUGCCUAUAUGUUUUGUGUUUUUCUUUCAUUUUUUGUCUUCCAAGGUGUUUUGUAUUUGUAAAUUACAACAGUUUCAAAAUAAAGUUAUCUUUUUCCAUCAUAGAUAUCAAAUUUGAUAGGCAAGAAUGGGUUAUUUUCCCUCCUUCCGUUCUUACUCUCCUUUCUUCUGUUCUUCAUAUUUUGCUUUAUAGGAGAAAUUAAAAUGAAAUACUGCACUUUCUGAGUGCACCUCUCUUGGAUAAACAUUUUCCUGUCAUGGAAGAAGAAGCAGAGAAAGUAAAGGAUGGUAAAGAUUUUAAGCAAUCUCUACACCCAGUGUGGGACUUAGAACCCAAGAUCAAGUCACAUGUUCUACUGAUUGAGCCAGCCAGGUGCCCCCAAAAGUUGCUAAUGGUUUUGUGUUGCUUAAAUACCUAUACCAAAAUAAAAGAAUGCUCUUUUUAUGGUAGUUCUGCCAUUUCCAUGAACCCCUAUCCCUUAGAGCAAGUGCUUGGCCACCUAGUCCACUAGACUAACCUCUAAUCACAAAAAGUAACAGAAAAAUGCACAUCGAGGAAGGAGACAGCAAUAGUCCAGACAGCAUGGCAGCCCCCUGUCGGAAAUGUAGGAAAUAAAGCCUGGUUCCAAUUCCAGUUACUUUGUUACUGCUUAAAAACGGUGUUUUACUCCAAAAUCUGCCCUUGGGCCAUUUGUCUCUCAUUUCUUAGGAAGGUUCUACUUGGAAUGAAUGGUAUUUAAUUUAACCUGAGUGCAGGAGGCACCACUGUGUUCUGUGUUUGAAGGAGCACCUUAUGUCAGAAAGUUUAAAUGAGCUUAAAAUGAGCUGAAUUCUACCUCUUAUGUUACACACUGGUCAUAAUUUUGCUAGAGAAGGUCUUUAGGGUAGAUUUCAAGAUUGUUUGGAUGCAGUUGUCCCAUUUUCUGAGGCUUAUCCUACCUACACCAUUCUCAUCCCAUAGCCACUCUUACAGUCCUGCUUUUGCCUGUCUCCCUCGUGCUUUUUCGUCUCCUAAUCAGUCUUGCUUAUAGUGUGGUUUGUGGGCUCUGGGAUGUCUUGCUAUCAUGAAAUGGCUCAUUGAAAUAGGACAUCAGUCAAUUCACUAAUUACAUGUAUCUGCAUUCUGCCAAACACUUGUCGAAUUUCUAAAUGAAUAUUAUUACAAGUGUUGACGGACUAGUAGAGGUUGGAGCCCAUGCUUUAUAGGAUUAAUGAUACAUAAGGCCUUAAGUUUUCAAACUAUUCCUUCUCAGUUGAUCCUCGCAAUAACCCUGUGACAAGUAACGUAGAUACUGUAUUCUCCAAAAUAAUGUCUACAGUUUGCUGCUUAGCCCUGCACUGCCGCACCAUUGCACCUGGGUAUUUUCCCUUUGUUGUUGGCCCCACUAACAUAGAAGUUCCAGGGGAGAGACAUGUUGUCUAAUUUAUUGCCAAAUCCCAAGUGCCUAGGGCAGUGUCUGCAUGCAGUAGCCACUGCUUCCUAAAUGAAGGAAGCAGGUGUUAGGGACAUUGCAGAUUUAACAGUUUCUUGUUUGUAAGGGCAGCACAGAACAUGGCAGUUUAGAUCACUGGGCCUAGUACCGUGCCCGAAGCAAAUCCUUAACUUUCCUGGGUCAGAGCAACCUAGAAUCAGAAAAUUAAUAUACACAUAUGUGUUGUAUGUGUGUGUGACUGGUUUUUGAUAAAAGAACACAUACAUAUAUGUGUGUGUACAUUACUUUUCUUUACAUAUCUGCCUGCACCAUGUCUUAAACUGCAUACUCCUUAGCUCUCAACUUAGAACGUAGCAGUUCUGGGUUUUUACCCUUCUUCUGUGCUUUCUUUCCCCUCCCUGCCAAUGGUCUAUAUAGAAAAUCAUUUCCUUCUCCAUUAAUGAUUUAGGAUUCCCUCCUGUAUCUCCAUAUGGCAAUGUAAUUUAUGUUUUUUUUUUUUUAAUGUGAUUACUUUUAGUAUCAGUACAAUUUGUAAGGUUCAUUCCCUGCUUCAAGAGCCACACAGGACAUUCGGGGGCCACCUGCAGUCUUGACUGCGGACGAGCCGGCCUUGAAAGACAGGACUUACACUUGGAGCAGAUGAUUCUAAAAUUGACCAGGGUAGCACUCUCUUUUCUAGAAUGUUUUCAAGGCCUUGUGAACCAAACAAAACAAAAACCUAGACUGGAGGACUAGGAAAACUAGCCAGUUUUUUCGACGCUUCUGGCAUUAUUCUAAGGGCAUAAAAGGCCCUGCCCUUCCCCUAUAGAUGUGGAAGGGCUUUGAAGGCUAGACUGUGUAGACAUGACUGAUUAUUUCUAUGUGUUUUUGGGAGGUCAGGAGGGCAGAACCAAGGGAAAAUAUGUCAGGGCACUUGUUGCAGUAAGUCACAAUAAAGUGAGGCAGUAACGAAGCAAGCUCAUCGCCCUCUCAGGGAAGAACGUGGUCGCACCGACAGUGUGUAGGGCACAUGCAUCGAACGUGUCGCCUUAGCUGAAGUUUCGUGACCUGUUGGAACUGCAGUCUCCUGAUCUUCAGAAUGGGGAUGUUAAUGCCCAGCUUUCAGUGUGCAAUUCCCUUUGGUCAGAAAAUACAGGUGAAUGAAGUGGGCACAGUGCCUGGAACAUUGGUAUUUCAAUGCUAAAUCUUGUGUUUUCUCUGAUCCUUCCCGCUCCUCAGAGGCAGGGUUCGCUGAAGCUCUAUUUGGCUGGCCUUCCUCCAUUGGUACAGGCUGGAGUUUGGGUUAUCUCUGUACAGCUAUGUCUGUUGUCCUGAUAGCUUGCCCACAGUCAUGCUAAAAUAAUUUCUCACAUCGUCUGUUUCCUAACCCAAAGUGCAAGCCACUCACAUUUACCAAAGGCCUGGGGGAAUUUAGGUUGAAUUCA
rnacentral:lncRNA from 1 species